rnacentral:rRNA from 1 species
UACAGAGGGUGCUAGCGUUGUUCGGAAUCAUUGGGCGUAAAGGGCGUGUAGGCGGUUUGUUAAGUCUUGUGUGAAAUCCCUCGGCUCAACCGGGGAACGACGCAUGAAACUGGCAAGCUAGAGUACCAAAGAGGGGGGUGGAAUUCCCGGUGUAGCGGUGAAAUGCGCAGAUAUCGGGAGGAACACCGGUGGCGAAGGCGGUUCUCUGGGCCUUACCUGACGCUGAGGAGCGAAAGCGUGGGGAGCGAACAGG